rnacentral:rRNA from 1 species
GACGAACGCUGGCGGCGUGCUUAACACAUGCAAGUCGAACGAAGUGGCGAACGGGUGAGUAACGCGUAAUCAACCUGCCCUUCAGAGGGGGACAACAGUUGGAAACGAAUGCUAAUACCGCAUGCUGAAGGAGGGGAUUGCGUGUGAUUAGGUAGUUGGAGGGGUAACGGCCCACCAAGGCGAUGAUCAGUAGCCGGUCUGAGAGGAUGAACCGCCACAUUGGGACUUAGACACGGCCCAGACUCCUACGGGAGGCAGCAGUGGGGAAUCUUCCGCAAUGGACGAAAGUCUGACGGAGCAACGCCGCGUGAGUGAUGACGGCCUUCGGGUUGUAAAGCUCUGUUAAUCGGGACGCGGUACCGGAAUAGAAAGCCACGGCUAACUACGUGCCAGCAGCCGCGGUAAUUC